rnacentral:rRNA from 1 species
GAUGAACGCUGGCGGCGUGCCUAAUACAUGCAAGUCGAGCGAACAGACGAGGAGCUUGCUCCUCUGACGUUAGCGGCGGACGGGUGAGUAACACGUGGAUAACCUACCUAUAAGACUGGGAUAACUUCGGGAAACCGGAGCUAAUACCGGAUAAUAUAUUGAACCGCAUGGUUCAAUAGUUAAAGACGGUUUUGCUGUCACUUAUAGAUGGAUCCGCGCCGCAUUAGCUAGUUGGUAAGGUAACGGCUUACCAAGGCAACGAUGCGUAGCCGACCUGAGAGGGUGAACGGCCACACUGGAACUGAGACACGGUCCAGACUCCUACGGGAGGCAGCAGUAGGGAAUCUUCCGCAAUGGGCGAAAGCUUGACGGAGCAACGCCGCGUGAGUGAUGAAGGUCUUCGGAUCGUAAAACUCUGUUAUUAGGGAAGAACAAAUGUGUAAGUAACUAUGCACGUCUUGACGGUACCUAAUCAGAAAGCCACGGCUAACUACGUG